AGAGAGGUGUCCGAGUGGUUGAAGGAGCACGCCUGGAAAGUGUGUAUGCGGGAAACUGCAUCGAGGGUUCGAAUCCCUUCCUCUCUGCGA
rnacentral:tRNA from 1 species